CCUACGGGAGGCAGCAGUGAGGAAUAUUGGUCAAUGGACGAGAGUCUGAACCAGCCAAGUAGCGUGAAGGAUGACUGCCCUAUGGGUUGUAAACUUCUUUUAUAUGGGAAUAAAAUGUUCCACGUGUGGGAUUUUGUAUGUACCAUAUGAAUAAGGAUUGGCUUACUCCGUGCCAGCAGCCGCGGUAAUACGGAGGAUCCGAGCGUUUUCCGGAUUUAUUGGGUUUAAAGGGAGCGUAGGUGGAUUGUUAAGUCCGUUGUGAAAGUUUGCGGCGCAACCGUAAAAUUGCAGUUGAAACUGGCAGUCUUGAGUACAGUAGAGGUGGGCGGAAUUCGUGGUGUAGCGGUGAAAUGCUUAGAUAUCACGAAGAACUCCGAUUGCGAAGGCAGUUCACUGGACUGCAACUGACACUGAGGCUCGAAAGUGUGGGUAUCAAACAGGAUUAGAUACCCUUGUAGUC
rnacentral:rRNA from 1 species